GGGCGUAAGCGCGCGUAGGUGGCUUGAUAAGCCGGUUGUGAAAGCCCCGGGCUCAACCUGGGAACGGCAUCCGGAACUGUCAGGCUAGAGUGCAGGAGAGGAAGGUAGAAUUCCCGGUGUAGCGGUGAAAUGCGUAGAGAUCGGGAGGAAUACCAGUGGCGAAGGCGGCCUUCUGGACUGACACUGACACUGAGGUGCGAAAGCGUGGGUAGCAAACAGGAUUAGAUACCCUGGUAGUCCACGCCGUAAACGAUGUCGACCAGCCGUUGGGUGCCUAGAGCACUUUGUGGCGAAGUUAACGCGAUAAGUCGACCGCCUGGGGAGUACGGCCGCAAGGUUAAAACUCAAAUGAAUUGACGGGGGCCCGCACAAGCGGUGGAGCAUGUGGUUUAAUUCGAUGCAACGCGAAGAACCUUACCUACCCUUGACAUCUACAGAAGCCGGAAGAGAUUCUGGUGUGCCUUCGGGAACUGUAAGACAGGUGCUGCAUGGCUGUCGUCAGCUCGUGUUGUGAAAUGUUGGGUUAAGUCCCGUAACGAGCGCAACCCUUGUCCUUAUUUGCCAGCGAGUAAUGUCGGGAACUCUAAGGAGACUGCCGGUGACAAACCGGAGGAAGGUGGGGACGACGUCAAGUCAUCAUGGCCCUUACGGGUAGGGCUACACACGUGCUACAAUGGCCGGUACAAAGGGCUGCGAGCUCGCGAGAGUCAGCGAAUCCCUUAAAGCCGGUCUCAGUCCGGAUCGGAGUCUGCAACUCGACUCCGUGAAGUCGGAAUCGCUAGUAAUCGUGAAUCAGAAUGUCACGGUGAAUACGUUCCCGGGCCUUGUACACACCGCCCGUCACACCAUGGGAGUGGACUGCACCAGAAGUGGUUAGCCUAACGCAAGAGGGCGAUCACCACGGGUGUGGU
rnacentral:rRNA from 1 species